rnacentral:tRNA from 1 species
AAAUAAGAAGCAAUUUUGCCUUUAGUUUCGACCUAAAAGAUUGAUUUUUAAAAAAUCCUUAUUUU